AACGAACGCUGGCGGCAUGCCUAACACAUGCAAGUCGAACGAGACCUUCGGGUCUAGUGGCGCACGGGUGCGUAACGCGUGGGAACCUGCCCUUAGGUUCGGAAUAACUCCCCGAAAGGGGUGCUAAUACCGGAUAAUGUCUUCGGACCAAAGAUUUAUCGCCUUUGGAUGGGCCCGCGUUGGAUUAGCUAGUUGGUAGGGUAAAAGCCUACCAAGGCGACGAUCCAUAGCUGGUCUGAGAGGAUGAUCAGCCACACUGGGACUGAGACACGGCCCAGACUCCUACGGGAGGCAGCAGUGGGGAAUAUUGGAAAAUGGGCGAAAGCCUGAUCCAGCAAUGACGCGUGAGUGAUGAAGGCCUUAGGGUUGUAAAGCUCUUUUACCCGGGAUGAUAAUGACAGUACCGGGAGAAUAAGCUCCGGCUAACUCCGUG
rnacentral:rRNA from 1 species